rnacentral:lncRNA from 1 species
AGAAGAAGAAGGCCUGGGAGCUCACGAUGUCUAACCUGGGAAGAUUCCUAACAGACCUAAUUACUGAGCUGCAAAAAGUGAUGAAGAAACCAGAUAUAGAAAUGCUACAGGUUGUGAAAGAAACCUUAGAAAGGAGUGAUGUUUGGCUAGACUUGGAACCUUUCACACCAAAUCUGGAAACGUCUUAUGUCAAGAUUGUGAUCCAGUUUUUGAAACUCUUGCAAAGACAUAAUCUAUUGGAGAGCUGCAAAGACUACAAAUUGUCUGGGGAGAAAAAGAGGACAAUCAAAAUCGUUCCUGAUGACUUUGGCAUGGUAUAUCCUAUUUAUGUAUUUGGAUGUCUUCAAGUCAAAGACACCACAAGAAGAUUUAUAAUGAUGACUUAGUCUCAGGAUAAACUGUCGAAGAGGAAAAAGGAUAUACAAGAACUAUCACGACUUUACGGAGAACCAUGUAGAGGGAAAAACAUCAUCUACCAAGUCUUUUUGCUUCCACUAGAAAUGCAG